UCCGUAGGUGAACCUGCGGAAGGAUCAUUAGAAAAAUUAGACUGCGUGCGCGAGCAUGUAAAUCUAUAGACCCCCAACCCUGCGUACUUUUACCACGUUGCUUCCGCGAGCACUCAAAAAAAAAAGUGCCCGCGAAAGGCCAACUUCAAACCAAUUUCAUUUUUACUGCGUCAAAACGUCUGAAAAAAAAAAAAUUAAAAAAUUAAAAAUUAAAACUUUCAACAACGGAUCUCUUGGUUCUCGCAUCGAUGAAGAACGCAGCGAAAUGCGAUAAGUAGUGUGAAUUGCAGAAUUCAGUGAAUCAUCGAAUCUUUGAACGCACAUUGCGCCUCCCGGCAUUCCGGGAGGCAUGCCUGUCCGAGCGUCAUCAAAAAACCUCGAGCUCGCGUUUUGUUGAAUGUACUUUACGUUCAACGGGACAGCGGUGCUUGGUGUUGAGGGAUGAGCCUGGCAUCUCCUGCCACGCUCCCCCUCGAAUUACAGUGGCGGACACCCUCGCGGACCCGGUGUAGUAAAAACUUUAUUCUCACCUUUGCCCGUUGAGGUUGGUGUCCCGCCGAUCGAACCGAACCGUAAAACGUUCACAGACCCCCAAGUUUUUGACCUCGGAUCAGGUAGGGAUACCCGCUGAACUUAAGCAUAUCAAUAAGCGGAGGAAAAGAAACCAACAGGGAUUGCCUCAGUAACUGCGAGUGAAGCGGCAAAAGCUCAAAUUUGAAAUCUGGCGUUUUCUGGCGUCCGAGUUGUAAUUUGGAGGAGCGUCUUCGGGAGCGGCACCGUCCUAAGUUCCUUGGAACAGGACGUCACAGAGGGUGAGAAUCCCGUGCCUGGGCGGUUGUCCGUUCCCAUGCGAAGUGCUUCCGACGAGUCGAGUUGUUUGGGAAUGCAGCUCAAAAUGGGUGGUAAAUUUCAUCUAAAGCUAAAUAUUGGCGAGAGACCGAUAGCGCACAAGUAGAGUGAUCGAAAGAUGAAAAGCACUUUGAGAAGAGAGUUAAAAAGUACGUGAAAUUGUUGAAAGGGAAACGCUUGAAGU
rnacentral:sRNA from 1 species